GCCGUUGGCAACCGGCUUGGAAUCGCCCAGCUGUCCCCUCAGACGGCAGCCCGUGGCCGUCCCCUUCGCUGUGGGAUGCGGGGAUUUGGGGCGGCUGAAGGAGUCGGGGCCCCCACCGCUGUAGCGCUGCUGCCCCCAUUAGGACCUGGAACUCCGAGCCUCCAGCUCUGCUCGCGGUGCCCCCCAAGGCUGAGGUGGUCUGUUGCAGUCUGCAGUCUGCUGAUCCGAAAGAAAGAAGGCGGCUUUUGGAGGACUUAAUCAUGGCGAGUCGAGCUGCUGCUGAACCUCCCCUUCCAACAUCCAGCAGGUUUGUUCUGCAGGCCCCAAUGAUGGCACAGGCAUGAAAGAGCCCAGAGCUCGUCGCUGGGGAGAGGCUGCGUAUGGCGUUGUGAAGGGAGAGAUGGAGGAGGGGUUUGAGCAGCGCUGUGCAGGAAUGAACGGCUG